ACCUUACUGACUGACUGACUGAGCUAUAGGCGAGGGGAAGGCUGGUCUAUUAUCAGAGUUUAUGGCAGCAGACAGCCUAUAUUGAGGGAUGAUUUCAUUGGGUAAAAACUUAACUACUGUGUUGGUGGUUUCGUUUUUGGUAGCAAAUGCCUUAGUCUAUCUGGAGAAGGUGUCUACUAGUACUAGAAGGUAUUUGUACUUAGCCUGGUGUGGUUUGACUUCUCUAAACUGAAUUUCUUACUUUUUUCUUGGCGAGUUUUUUCAGAGACAGUGGCCUGGGCUGGGUUUAGGACUUUGUUUGGCAUUUACUUGGGCGCAGGUUGUGCACUGGAGAGCUGCUUAAUCUCUUAGGCUAUGAAGAUGGGGGAUCUUAAAAUGCCUCCGGAGGAGCUGAGGUAACUUUGCUCUUCUUAAAUGGGUGGUAGACUGUAGGUAACUGGUUUAAGUUCAGGGUAUGAAGAUUCCAGAGUCAGGAAGAAUCUACUAACUUUCCUGAUUUUUAUUGGCUCUGAGAUCUGAAGCCAGUUUUUCUGUUGUUGUUGAGUAUACGGGAUUGUCAGGCAGAUCUGGCUGUGGAAAGGAGACUGUGGGCAGCAAGUUUGGAGGCAUGACUGAAAGUCUGGCAGCGACCUGAGCUGCUGAAUCAGCUUUCUGGUUACUAUGGGCAACGGCCGUGUUUUCUUUUUGAUGUCCUUUGCAGUGGAUCACAGCUACCUGCUGAGACAGACAAGGGGAGGGGAUCCAGCGAUGGGAUCAGUCAGAUGCCUGCCUGGCCGCUCCCCGUGAGGGGACUUGGGCUCCUCUUAGCAUUGGCAGGCCGGUAUAAACUUCCGGCUCAGAUCGAGCUAUGCCUGAUGCUGCCUUAAGCCUUAUGAGGUCGCCAUGGAACCGCAGAAACUCCUGGAGGGCAGAGCUGUGUCUGCCAUCUUCAUCAUUGCAUUACCACCACCCAGCACAGUGCCUGGCACAAAAGAGUUGCUCAAUAAAUAAAUCAGGAUGAAUGGAUAAAUACAUGGAUAGGCACUUUGAACUACAGAUGAGUUUAAAUACUUUGUGUUUUUCUUAGUCAAACAUGUGCAAUUAAGCAUGUGAUAAAUGAUAUGAUGACCGCACCUGUGUCUUGCCUGAUGUUCUUUGCAAUCACUAAAUGAAGUCAAUUGUGCCUGUUUUGAC
ensembl:lncRNA novel transcript